rnacentral:rRNA from 1 species
GACGAACGCUGGCGGCGUGCCUAAUACAUGCAAGUAGAACGCUGAAGGAGGAGCUUGCUUCUCUGGAUGAGUUGCGAACGGGUGAGUAACGCGUAGGUAACCUGCCUGGUAGCGGGGGAUAACUAUUGGAAACGAUAGCUAAUACCGCAUAAUAGUAGAUGUUGCAUGACAUUUGCUUAAAAGGUGCAAUUGCAUCACUACCAGAUGGACCUGCGUUGUAUUAGCUAGUUGGUGAGGUAACGGCUCACCAAGGCAACGAUACAUAGCCGACCUGAGAGGGUGAUCGGCCACACUGGGACUGAGACACGGGCCAGACUCCUACGGGAGGCAGCAGUAGGGAAUCUUCGGCAAUGGACGGAAGUCUGACCGAGCAACGCCGCGUGAGUGAAGAAGGUUUUCGGAUCGUAAAGAUCUGUUGUAAGGGAAGAAAGAGUGUGGGAGUGGAAAGUUCACACUGUGACGGUAUCUUACCAGAAAGGGACGGCUAACUACGUG